AACGAACGCUGGCGGCAUGCCUAACACAUGCAAGUCGAACGAGACCUUCGGGUCUAGUGGCGCACGGGUGCGUAACGCGUGGGAACCUGCCCUUAGGUUCGGAAUAACUCCCCGAAAGGGGUGCUAAUACCGGAUAAUGUCUUCGGACCAAAGAUUUAUCGCCUUUGGAUGGGCCCGCGUUGGAUUAGCUAGUUGGUAGGGUAAAAGCCUACCAAGGCGACGAUCCAUAGCUGGUCUGAGAGGAUGAUCAGCCACACUGGGACUGAGACACGGCCCAGACUCCUACGGGAGGCAGCAGUGGGGAAUAUUGGACGAUGGGCGAAAGUCUGAUACAGCAAUGCCGCGUGAGUGAUGAAGGCCUUAGGGUUGUAAAGCUCUUUUACCCGGGAUGAUAAUGACAGUACCGGGAGAAUAAGCUCCGGCUAACUCCGUG
rnacentral:rRNA from 1 species